AUCUCAUUGAAGGUCGAGUAGUCUGGGGCGAAAAAGAGCAAAGAACAGCAAGAGGGAAUUUAAAAACAACUUUCAUCAGACUUCCCUUGGCUGCAGUGCAAUUCCUGAAAACUUCACCUAGCAGCAGAAGAACACAGGGGCAGAGAUUAAGAUGAGCAUGGACAUGUAGAAUGAGCAAGAAAAAUGAACCAGAAGACAAGAGUGCAGAAGCUUCAUAAAGUUUAGACUAUCCUGAAUCAGAAGUGUUUAAAGCUCUGGCAACUAAUUACAGCUGCAGAGGCAGAACAAAACGCAAGCAGCAGAGUCCUUACUGGGCCCAACAUCUUCUCUCACUCGCAAAGCAACGAAGAGAUCAACAGCUCCGUAUGAGAUGAGGAGCUCAGGCUCAUCCAUUAUGCAGCACGCCAGCAGCGACGGGGACGCAAUCGCCCGCUCUGAAGCCAGGACAAACCUGACCAAAGAGCAAGAAACAGAAUGAGCAACCUCUCAUUAUCACAUAAACAAGCCUCGCUAGCGCUCCUUCUCCUCCCCGCUUACUGCCAUGUUAAACAAGUACCAGAAAGAAUCACAUUAAGCAUCUGGUUCAAAUGCAGAAGAAUAAAAGAAAUUGCCUUUAACAAAAUUUGUCAA